UACGGAGGAUGCAAGCGUUAUCCGGAAUGAUUGGGCGUAAAGCGUCCGCAGGUGGCACCUCAAGUCUGCUGUCAAAGACCGGGGCUUAACCCCAGAAAGGCAGUGGAAACUGAAGUGCUAGAGUGCAGUAGGGGUAGAGGGAAUUCCCGGUGUAGCGGUGAAAUGCGUAGAGAUCGGGAAGAACAUCGGUGGCGAAAGCGCUCUGCUGGACCAUAACUGACACUCAGGGACGAAAGCUAGGGGAGCGAAUGGG
rnacentral:rRNA from 1 species